UACGUAGGGGGCAAGCGUUGUCCGGAUUUAUUGGGCGUAAAGAGCGUGUAGGCGGCCAUGUAGGUCCGUUGUGAAAACUCGAGGCUCAACCUCGAGACGCCGAUGGAAACCAUGUGGCUAGAGUCCGGAAGAGGAGAGUGGAAUUCCUGGUGUAGCGGUGAAAUGCGCAGAUAUCAGGAGGAACACCGGUGGCGAAGGCGGUUCUCUGGGCCUUACCUGACGCUGAGGAGCGAAAGCGUGGGGAGCGAACAGG
rnacentral:rRNA from 1 species